CACAUGCUCCUUAGAUCCAUCUUUGUGAGUAUCUUUGUGCUGAGUUCUGCUGGAUAACUUCAGUUUCUAGCAGUCCCAGUCAGAGAUAUUCAGCAACUUUUUGGUUGUACAGUCGAAGAUGCUUGAGUCAUUGGCAUGUAAGAGUAAUAUAACUGCAUGUUAGCUUUCUGUUCUGAUAGAAGUGGCUGUAAAUAUACAAGUCAUUUAUUGCUAUCAGGACUUGGCUGGUAUGCAGACAUA
ensembl:snoRNA small nucleolar RNA, H/ACA box 53